rnacentral:rRNA from 1 species
ACGAACGCUGGCGGCGUGCCUAAUACAUGCAAGUCGAACGAACCGCGACUAGGUGCUUGCACUUGGUCAAGGUGAGUGGCGAACGGGUGAGUAACACGUGGGUAACCUACCUCAUAGUGGGGGAUAACAGUCGGAAACGACUGCUAAUACCGCAUAGGACAUAGGAUCACAUGAUCCAGUGAGGAAAGGUGGCGCAAGCUAUCGCUAAGAGAUGGACCCGCGGUGCAUUAGCUAGUUGGUAGGGUAAAGGCCUACCAAGGCGAUGAUGCAUAGCCGACCUGAGAGGGUGAUCGGCCACAGUGGGACUGAGACACGGCCCAAACUCCUACGGGAGGCAGCAGUAGGGAAUCUUCCGCAAUGGACGCAAGUCUGACGGAGCAACGCCGCGUGAGUGAAGAAGGUCUUCGGAUCGUAAAGCUCUGUUGUUAGGGAAGAACAGCGCAUAGAGUAACUGUUAUGCGUGUGACGGUAUCUAAACAGAAAGCCACGGCUAACUACGUG